GGUGGUGGAGAGCAUGAGAUUAAGGGGAUACUAUAGCUCAAUUCAAAAGCCAUUUCUAAGAAUUCAAACCUUUCUGUGCUGUCAAAUGAUGUACUUAACAACCGAGUUCCAUCUCGUGAAAAGACAAGGCUUAUGACACCCUGGGAAUGAGCACGUUCCAGUUGGCGUAAGCAUUAACCUGUCCUAAUACGCUAAACAUAUAACCAAACAGAUGAGAACAACAGCUACUAAAUAGAUUUACAAUUGUGAAUUUCGAAUUAUAUAAUACAAGCCACUUGAGGGUCCUUCAAAACCGGCUAUACCAAAAAUAUUCUUUAGAGGAUAAUAUCUCACCUUAAAGUAAUAUUCUCUAACUUCUUUAAGUUAUUUUGUGUUGAAUAAGUCUAGAUGCUUCUUUUUUUUUAACUCUUUUUAGAUGUUAGGGAAAAUAGAAGACAAAGCAACAGGAGAAGAUUCACAUUGAAGCAGAAAAUGAAAGCAAGCUUAACCUUUAUUUUUCCAUCUUGUGAUCCAGAUGCAAGCAUCUCAGAGUCUCUACUAAAAUCAACUGAGAAGACAACAUCAUUGUGCAUCAUAAAAGUUUACCUGCCAUGUUACA
rnacentral:lncRNA from 1 species